rnacentral:rRNA from 1 species
AGCAGCCGCGGUAAUCCCAGCUCCAAUAGCGUAUAUUAAAGUUGUUGCAGUUAAAAAGCUCGUAGUUGAAUUUCGGGAUCAGUACGCUGGUCGUGCCUUUGGUAUGUACUGGUGUCACUGAUUCCUCCCUUCUGAAGAACCGUUAUGCCAUUUAUUUGGUGUGGCGGGGAAUCAGGACUGUUACUUUGAAAAAAUUAGAGUGUUUAAAGCAGGCUCGCGCUUGAAUACAUUAGCAUGGAAUAAUGAAAUAGGACGUUUGAUCUUAUUUUGUUGGUUUCUAGGAUCGACGUAAUGAUUAAUAGGGAUAGUUGGGGGCAUUAGUAUUCAAUUGUCAGAGGUGAAAUUCUUGGAUUUAUUGAAGACUAACUACUGCGAAAGCAUUUGCCAAGGAUGUUUUCAUUAAUCAAGAACGAAAGUUAGGGGAUCGAAGACGAUCAGAUACCGUCGUAGUCUUAACCAUAAACUAUGCCGACUAGGGAUCGGAUGAUGUUAAUUUUUAAUGA